GUGCCGCAGCUAACGCAUUAAGCGCCCCGCCUGGGGAGUACGGCCGCAAGGCUAAAACUCAAAGGAAUUGACGGGGGCCCGCACAAGCGGCGGAGCAUGUGGCUUAAUUCGACGCAACGCGAAGAACCUUACCAAGGCUUGACAUGCAAGGAAAUCUCGUAGAGAUACGGGGUCCGCAAGGGCGGUAUACAGGUGGUGCAUGGUUGUCGUCAGCUCGUGUCGUGAGAUGUUGGGUUAAGUCCCGCAACGAGCGCAACCCUCGUCCUAUGUUGCCAGCGAGUAAUGUCGGGGACUCAUAGGAGACUGCCGGGGUCAACUCGGAGGAAGGUGGGGAUGACGUGCGUCAGUCAA
rnacentral:misc_RNA from 1 species